AGUGAACGCUGGCGGUAGGCCUAACACAUGCAAGUCGAACGGCAGCACAGUAAGAGCUUGCUCUUACGGGUGGCGAGUGGCGGACGGGUGAGGAGUACAUCGGAAUCUACUUUUUCGUGGGGGAUAACGUAGGGAAACUUACGAUAAUACCGCAUACGACCUACCGUUGAAAGCAGGGGAUCUUCGGGCCUUGCGCGAUUGAAUUAGCCGAUGUCGGAUUAGCUAGUUGGGGGGGUAAAGGCCCACCAAGGCGACGAUACGUAGCUGGUCUGAGAGGAUGAUCGGCCACACGGGAACUGAGACACGGUCCAGACUCCUACGGGAGGCAGCAGUGGGGAAUAUUAGGCAAUGGGCGCAAGCCUGAUCCAGCCAUACCGCGUGGGUGAAGAAGGCCUUCGGGUUGUAAAGCCCUUUUGUUGGGAAAGAAAAGCAGCAGGUUAAUACCCCGCUGUUCUGACGGUACCCAAUAAAUAAGCACCGGCUAACUACGUG
rnacentral:rRNA from 1 species